rnacentral:sRNA from 1 species
AAGCUCAUAUGAGCUUUUUUUGAUUGUUCAUAACUAGAUUUCUUGUUAAAUCUCAAAAAAUAAGCUAUAAUUAAUCAUAGCACUUAGUUUAGAAAGAAGGUGUAAGU